UAUGGCGCUUAAAUGCGCGCAUAAGCUAAGAUGGAAACAGGUGUAAAUCCUGUACAGACCCGCUGCUGUAAGUCUCAAUCGCAGUCCCUUAACCAACAUGCCAUUGCCGAUGCGUCGGCGAGAAGGCGUUAACGGACGAGACAAGUCAGAAGACAUGCCGCUUUC
rnacentral:ncRNA from 1 species